rnacentral:rRNA from 1 species
AGCAUAUCAAUAAGCGGAGGAAAAGAAACCAACAGGGAUUGCCCUAGUAAACGGCGAGUGAAGCGGCAACAGCUCAAAUUUGAAAUCUGGCUCUCGGGCCCGAGUUGUAAUUUGUAGAGGAUGCUUUUGAUGCGGUGCCUUCCGAGUUCCCUGGAACGGGACGCCAUAGAGGGUGAGAGCCCCGUCUGGUUGGAUACCAAAUCUCUGUAAAGCUCCUUCGACGAGUCGAGUAGUUUGGGAAUGCUGCUCUAAAUGGGAGGUAUAUGUCUUCUAAAGCUAAAUACUGGCCAGAGACCGAUAGCGCACAAGUAGAGUGAUCGAAAGAUGAAAAGCACUUUGAAAAGAGAGUUAAAAAGUACGUGAAAUUGUUGAAAGGGAAGCGUUUAUGACCAGACUUGGGCUUGGAUAAUCAUCUGGGGUUCUCCCCAGUGCACUUUUCCAGUCCAGGCCAGCAUCAGUUUUCGCCGGGGGAUAAAGGCUUCGGGAAUGUGGCUCCCUCCGGGGAGUGUUAUAGCCCGUUGCGUAAUACCCUGGGGGGGACUGAGGUUCGCGCAUCUGCAAGGAUGCUGGCGUAAUGGUCAUCAACGACCCGUCUUGAAACACGGACCAAGGAGUCGUCUUCGUAUGCGAGUGUUCGGGUGUCAAACCCCUACGCGUAAUGAAAGUGAACGCAGGUGAGAGCUUCGGCGCAUCAUCGACCGAUCCUGAUGUUCUCGGAUGGAUUUGAGUAAGAGCAUACGGGGCCGGACCCGAAAGAAGGUGAACUAUGCCUGUAUAGGGUGAAGCCAGAGGAAACUCUGGUGGAGGCUCGCAGCGGUUCUGACGUGCAAAUCGAUCGUCAAAUAUGGGCAUGGGGGCGAAAGACUAAUCGAACCUUCUAGUAGCUGGUUUCCGCCGAAGU